rnacentral:rRNA from 1 species
UACGAAGGGUGCAAACGUUGCUCGGAAUCAUUGGGCGUAAAGCGCACGUAGGCGGCCUUGUAAGUCGGAUGUGAAAUCCCACGGCUUAACCGUGGAAGUGCAUCCGAAACUGCGAGGCUCGAGUAUGGAAGAGGGUCGCAGAAUUCCCGGUGUAGAGGUGAAAUUCGUAGAUAUCGGGAGGAAUACCAGUGGCGAAGGCGGCGACCUGGGCCAAUACUGACGCUGAGGUGCGAAAGCGUGGGGAGCAAACAGGG